AGCGGCGGACGGGUGAGUAACACGUGGGUAACCUGCCCAAGAGACUGGGAUAACACCUGGAAACAGAUGCUAAUACCGGAUAACAACACUAGACGUAUGUCUAGAGUUUGAAAGAUGGUUCUGCUAUCACUCUUGGAUGGACCUGCGGUGCAUUAGCUAGUUGGUAAGGUAACGGCUUACCAAGGCAAUGAUGCAUAGCCGAGUUGAGAGACUGAUCGGCCACAUUGGGACUGAGACACGGCCCAAACUCCUACGGGAGGCAGCAGUAGGGAAUCUUCCACAAUGGACGAAAGUCUGAUGGAGCAACGCCGCGUGAGUGAAGAAGGGUUUCGGCUCGUAAAGCUCUGUUGGUAGUGAAGAAAGAUAGAGGUAGUAACUGGCCUUUAUUUGACGGUAAUUACUUAGAAAGUCACGGCUAACUACGUGCCAGCAGCCGCGGUAAUACGUAGGUGGCAAGCGUUGUCCGGAUUUAUUGGGCGUAAAGCGAGUGCAGGCGGUUCAAUAAGUCUGAUGUGAAAGCCUUCGGCUCAACCGGAGAAUUGCAUCAGAAACUGUUGAACUUGAGUGCAGAAGAGGAGAGUGGAACUCCAUGUGUAGCGGUGGAAUGCGUAGAUAUAUGGAAGAACACCAGUGGCGAAGGCGGCUCUCUGGUCUGCAACUGACGCUGAGGCUCGAAAGCAUGGGUAGCGAACAGGAUUAGAUACCCUGGUAGUCCAUGCCGUAAACGAUGAGUGCUAAGUGU
rnacentral:rRNA from 1 species